GCGUUAACGAACGAGACCUCGACCUGCUAAAUAGUUCGGCGAAGGCUUCGGCCUUCGUUCAUGACUUCUUAGAGGGACUAUCGGUGUGUAGCCGACGGAAGUUCGAGGCAAUAACAGGUCUGUGAUGCUCUUAGAUGUUCUGGGCCGCACGCGCGUUACACUGACAGAGCCAGCGAGUCCUUCCUUGGCCGAGAGGCCCGGGUAAUCUUGUUAAACUCUGUCGUGCUGGGGAUAGAGCAUUGCAAUUAUUGCUCUUCGACGAGGAAUUCCUAGUAAGCGCGAGUCAUCAACUUGUGCUGAUUACGUCCCUGCCCUUUGUACACACCGCCCGUCGCUAGUACCGAUUGAAUGGAUG
rnacentral:rRNA from 1 species